GAUGAACGCUGGCGGCGUGCCUAAUACAUGCAAGUCGAGCGAACAGAUGAGGAGCUUGCUCCUCUGACGUUAGCGGCGGACGGGUGAGUAACACGUGGAUAACCUACCUAUAAGACGGGGAUAACUUCGGGAAACCGGAGCUAAUACCGGAUAAUAUAUUGAACCGCAGGGUUCAAUAGUGAAAGACGGUUUUGCUGUCACUUAUAGAUGGAUCCGCGCCGCAUUAGCUAGUUGGUAAGGUAACGGCUUACCAAGGCGACGAUGCGUAGCCGACCUGAGAGGGUGAUCGGCCACACUGGAACUGGGACACGGUCCAGGCUCCUACGGGAGGCAGCAGUAGGGAAUCGUCCGCAAUGGGCGAAAGCCUGACGGAGCAACGCCGCGUGAGUGAUGAAGGUCUUCGGAUCGUAAAACUCUGUUAUUAGGGAAGAACAAAUGUGUAAGUAACUAUGCACGUCUUGACGGUACCUAAUCAGAAAGCCACGGCUAACUACGUG
rnacentral:rRNA from 1 species